rnacentral:lncRNA from 1 species
UAUAUAUAUCGACUUUGAUGCCACUCAUUUAUUUUCGAUGACUGGACCUCUAAAUCGACGAUCGUCAAUGUUAAAUAUGAUCUAUACCACUUGAAGUAUUUAGAAAUCAAAUUUUAAAAUUUUUCAACAUCAUCGAUCUAAUGAUCGAAGUGUUUCAAAAUUUAUAAUUUUAAUGGUCAAUAUGAGGCAUUUUUUCGUUUAAUGUUGUAAAGAUAUUUAAAUCAAUUGAAUUUUAAUUAGAAAGUUUUUUAAAAUAUUUAAAACAAGAUCUAUACUUUUGAUUUUGAUUACAGAAUUCCUAUCAUUACUUUUUAAAAAAUAUGUAUUUCUAGUUAUUUAUUUUUAUGUCCACUUGAUGGAUAAGAGAACAAUAUUAAAAAAUCAUGAAAUUUUGGUUUUUAAAUAUUUCAAGUGAUAUAGAUCAUAUUCAACGUGCCCAUUAUCGAUUUGAAAACUCCAUUGUCGGAAACAAAUGGAUAGCAAGAAAACCCGUUUGCUAUAGCAUUACAGCUCAACUCUCUCUCUCUCUAUAUGAAGAGGGAUAAUUAAUCAAAAUGCCAUAUUUAAUUAAAUGAGCAAAUUCUUUGUUCUUUUGUAGGCGAGGUUGGGGAGGCAAGUGCUCUCAAUGCUAGAUUUUGAGUCAAAUGAAGAACACGGCAGGUCCAAGGAGACCACAACAGUUGAAGAACUUGUAGCAAUGGACUAUGUUGGGGCGCAACGAGGACCAUCGAUCCAUAACUAACAGUGAAUAUGUGAAAAAUCAAAAUUUUCGAAAGAAAGGAUAUAUGUAUGGUGCUAUUAAUAGAGUUAUUUAUACUAUGCGUAGAGUAGAUAUAAUGAAUAUAGUUAAAUUCAAUCAGUUACUUUGAUUAGAUUUAAUAUAUGUAUCUCCUAAUCAAUAGUAACAUCAGCUCUGAUAAUAUCGUUAUUCUUUGAGGAAUAUUGAGAAGGG